ACACCGGCAGCUCUAGUGGUAGCAGUUUUUAUUGGGCCUAAAGCGUCCGUAGCCGGUUUAAUAAGUCUCUGGUGAAAUCCUGUAGCUUAACUGUGGGCAUUGCUGGAGAUACUAUUAGACUUGAGACCGGGAGAGGUUAGAGGUACUCCCAGGGUAGAGGUGAAAUUCUGUAAUCCUGGAAGGACCGCCUGUUGCGAAGGCGUCUAGCUGGAACGGUUCUGACGGUGAGGGACGAAAGUUAGGGGCGCGAACCGGAUUAGAUACCCGGGUAGUCCUAACUGUAAACGAUGCGGACUUGGUGUUGGGGUGGCUUUGAGCUGCUCCAGUGCCGAAGGGAAGCUGUUAAGUCCGCCGCCUGGGAAGUACGGUCGCAAGACUGAAACUCAAAUGAAUUGGCGGGG
rnacentral:rRNA from 1 species